GAAUUCACUAGUGAUUCAGGCCUAACACAAGCAAGUCGGGCGGGGUUUUCGGACCUAAAAAAAAACGGGUGAGUAAUGCGUAGGAAGCUACCCGAUAGAGGGGGAUACCAGUUGGAAACGACUGUUAAUACCGCAUAAUGUCUACGGACCAAAGUGUGGGACCUUCGGGCCACAUGCUAUCGGAUGUGCCUACGUGGGAUUAGCUAGUUGGUGAGGUAAUGGCUCACCAAGGCGACGAUCCCUAGCUGGUUUGAGAGGAUGAUCAGCCACACUGGAAUUGAGGCACGGUCCAGACUCCUACGGGAGGCAGCAGUGGGGAAUAUUGGACAAUGGGCGCAAGCCUGAUCCUUUCAAAGCGCGUGUGUGAAGAAGGCCUUCGGGUU
rnacentral:rRNA from 1 species